GGCGAACGGGUGAGUAACACGUGAGUAACCUGCCCUUAACUCUGGGAUAAGCCUGGGAAACUGGGUCUAAUACCGGAUAGGAGCGUCUACCGCAUGGUGGGUGUUGGAAAGAUUUAUCGGUUUUGGAUGGACUCGCGGCCUAUCAGCUUGUUGGUGAGGUAAUGGCUCACCAAGGCGACGACGGGUAGCCGGCCUGAGAGGGUGACCGGCCACACUGGGACUGAGACACGGCCCAGACUCCUACGGGAGGCAGCAGUGGGGAAUAUUGCACAAUGGGCGCAAGCCUGAUGCAGCGACGCCGCGUGAGGGAUGACGGCCUUCGGGUUGUAAACCUCUUUCAGUAGGGAAGAAGCGAAAGUGACGGUACCUGCAGAAGAAGCACCGGCUAACUACGUGCCAGCAGCCGCGGUAAUACGUAGGGUGCGAGCGUUAUCCGGAAUUAUUGGGCGUAAAGAGCUCGUAGGCGGUUUGUCGCGUCUGUCGUGAAAGUCCGGGGCUUAACCCCGGAUCUGCGGUGGGUACGGGCAGACUAGAGUGCAGUAGGGGAGACUGGAAUUCCUGGUGUAGCGGUGGAAUGCGCAGAUAUCAGGAGGAACACCGAUGGCGAAGGCAGGUCUCUGGGCUGUAACUGACGCUGAGGAGCGAAAGCAUGGGGAGCGAACAGGAUUAGAUACCCUGGUAGUCCAUGCCGUAAACGUUGGGCACUAGGUGUGGGGACCAUUCCACGGUUUCCGCGCCGCAGCUAACGCAUUAAGUGCCCCGCCUGGGGAGUACGGCCGCAAGGCUAAAACUCAAAGGAAUUGACGGGGGCCCGCACAAGCGGCGGAGCAUGCGGAUUAAUUCGAUGCAACGCGAAGAACCUUACCAAGGCUUGACAUGUUCUCGAUCGCCGUAGAGAUACGGUUUCCCCCUUUGGGGCGGGUUCACAGGUGGUGCAUGGUUGUCGUCAGCUCGUGUCGUGAGAUGUUGGGUUAAGUCCCGCAACGAGCGCAACCCUCGUUCCAUGUUGCCAGCACGUA
rnacentral:rRNA from 2 species